rnacentral:sRNA from 1 species
UGACGUUUACUAAGGAGUGACGUAAUUC